GUUAAAAUGCAAUUCGAAAUUGAAUGUUCGCCAAAUUCCCUGGGUGGGGCUUCAUGACUAGUUCUGGUCAAUGCAUUUUGAGUGAAAUGAUGUAUGUCGCUUCUUGGCUGAGAUAGUUAAAAGCUGUUACCCAAUCCUUCAGCUCUCCCUCCCAUACUCCAACUAAAGAGACCACAUGUCGACAUGGUGGAACCACCUGAUAGAAGCUCGUGAAACACCACGGGAAGAAUAGCUGUUCUGGAGAGCCCUUCAAAACCCAAAUUGGACUUUGCAUAAGCCAGAAAUAAAUUUUCAUAUAUGAACCUUCCCUGUGAGUCAACUUGAAAGUAUAAGCCUUGAAAAUACCAGUGCUCUUUCAGGAAGUACCUCUGGCAGCUGGGAAAAUAUGGAAGUAGCCUCUGUGAUUCGAUGGAUGAAUUGGUUCCAUUCUUACUUGCCUGAAGAAUGGUCUUCAAGCCCUUCUGCACGCAUCUUAAGCAUACACGUGGGUAUUCAGAACAUGACCUCUCCUCUGUCAACACAAAAAGAAACAAAAUUAAGGACCUCUCCCAAGUGCUUAGGUAAUCUUUAAGGCUUUUUGUGGGUUUGGGACAUUUUGGGAUCACCUUGGUCUUAUAAACCAAUACAAUUGCUGAGAUGAUUUUCACCAGUGCAGAUGAAUAAUAUCCUAUCUUUGGAAAUGACAGAAUCAAAUAAAAAACACUGAGAUCCACAAAUGAAUUAUUGGCCUAGAACAGGUCCACUUUCUGGAGAGAAUAAGAAAAUAUUAAGAAUUGCAGUAAAGAAUACUGAAGUCUUUUUCUCUCAGGGCUCAUGUGUCUAGGCUGUUGAGAUUUGCUAAGACAUUUCCAGAAGCUGACCCAAAACCUGUAUUUUGGUGUUAGCAUCUGCCAUUCCACAAAUUUACUCCAUCAUCCAGACAAUUCAUACAGCUUGCUCUUCCUUUGUUUAACCUCAUUCCCUCGGCUUGGAACGUGCUCAUUAACUUUAUCCGAGCCAACUCAUCCUUUGGUGACCAGAUAAAUAUACCACCUCCCCAAAGCCUUCCGCCCCAUGCCAGGUCUAAGAGAGACUCGAGCCUCCCAACUCCUGGGGCACUUUUGGUGAUUCCAAUGGUAGUGACGCAAUCUGCUUUGCAUAGGAAUUACAACCAGAAGGCAGGUUUCUUGACAUUAAGAACCAUUUCUCCUUUGUGUUUGUAUCUCUACAAAAUUGAGUAUGGAUUUCUCAGCCAACAUUUAUUGAGAGAUUAAAUUUGAAAUUACGUUAUUGGUUUCUUUUUAGAUUGUUCAUUCAGCAUAUAGAAAUGCUACUGAUUUUUGUACAUUGGUUUUGUAUCCUGCGACUUUACUGAAAUUAUCAGUUCUGAUAGGUUUUUGAUGGAGUCUUUAGGUUUCUCUUAAUGUAUAUGUUGGCAAUGAAAUGAUCAGAUUUCUUCCUUAAACAUAAGCAGUCCUGUAGAGAACAUGAACUGUAGUCUUGUUUCGCUUCCUUUAAUCACGAACUAUUCAUUUGUUUACUCAUGCUUUUAAUAAGCAUUUGAUUGACUUUUAAGGAUGGCACUUAGGGGCCAAAGGGCUUGGCAAUAAGUGGGAAAAGACUGCAG
rnacentral:lncRNA from 1 species